GUUCACCAACUUGUUGAGAAUGCAGAUGAGUGCAUGGUUUUGGAUAACGAGGCCUUGUAUGACAUUUGCUUCCGAACUCUUAAGCUUACUACUCCCAGCUUUGGAGAUCUCAACCAUCUUAUUUCUGCCACCAUGAGUGGAGUGACAUGCUGCCUUCGCUUUCCUGGUCAACUCAACUCUGACCUCCGCAAGCUUGCUGUUAAUCUUAUCCCAUUUCCUCGGCUGCACUUCUUUAUGGUUGGUUUUGCUCCACUCACGUCUCGUGGGUCACAGCAGUACAGAGCCCUUACUGUGCCUGAGCUAACUCAACAAAUGUGGGAUGCUAAAAAUAUGAUGUGUGCUGCUGAUCCGCGUCAUGGCCGGUAUUUGACUGCUUCUGCCAUGUUCCGUGGAAAAAUGAGCACUAAAGAAGUUGAUGAACAGAUGAUUAAUGUUCAGAACAAAAACUCAUCUUACUUUGUUGAGUGGAUCCCCAACAA
rnacentral:misc_RNA from 1 species